UACGUAGGGAGCAAGCGUUGUUCGGAUUUACUGGGCGUAAAGCGCGCGUAGGCGGCGCGGUAAGUCACUUGUGAAAUCUCUGAGCUUAACUCAGAACGGCCAAGUGAUACUGCAGUGCUAGAGUGCAGAAGGGGCAAUCGGAAUUCUUGGUGUAGCGGUGAAAUGCGUAGAUAUCAAGAGGAACACCUGAGGUGAAGACGGGUGGCGGGGCUGAAACUGACGCUGAGUGCGCGAAAGCCAGGGGAGCAAACGGG
rnacentral:rRNA from 1 species